rnacentral:rRNA from 1 species
GGAGUUAGCCGGUGCUUCUUCUGCGAGUAACGUCACAGAUGUAAGGUAUUAACUUACACCCUUUCCUCCUCGCUGAAAGUGCUUUACAACCCGAAGGCCUUCUUCACACACGCGGCAUGGCUGCAUCAGGGUUUCCCCCAUUGUGCAAUAUUCCCCACUGCUGCCUCCCGUAGGAGUCUGGGCCGUGUCUCAGUCCCAGUGUGGCUGAUCAUCCUCUCAGACCAGCUAGGGAUCGUCGCCUAGGUGAGCCUUUACCUCACCUACUAGCUAAUCCCACCUGGGCUUAUCCAUCAGCGCAAGGCCCGAAGGUCCCCUGCUUUCCCCCGUAGGGCGUAUGCGGUAUUAGCAGUCGUUUCCAACUGUUAUCCCCCACAAAUGGGCAAAUUCCCAGGCAUUACUCACCCGUCCGCCGCUCGUCAUCUUCAAAGCAAGCUUUUGAAAUGUUACCGCUCGACUUGCAUGUGUUAGGCCUGCCGCCAGCGUUCAAUAUGAGCCAGAAUCGAACCCUGA